ACUCCUCGCCUGUUUUGCCCUCUUCCGUCUAGAUUCUCACCCGGGACCCUAUAAAUAUAGUUCCACCUUAGCUAUAUGUACCAGCAACAGCAACAGCAGCAGCAGCAGCAAUGAUUGAUCGUUUGUGACCCGAUGACACACACCACGAGCUCCUCCAAUGGCACCCAUAUAAUCCGGGUCAGGGAGGUGCACCUGGCCACCGUUAUCUGGUUGUGACGGCGAGAGGUAUAUAUACUCUGUACUGCAUUGCUCUGCUUUGCCAUGCUGAGUCCAUUUCUAGUGACUGGCCUGUUGUGACGGCGAGAGGUAUAUAUACUCUGUACUGCACUGCUCUACUUUGCCAUGAUGAGUCCACUUCUAGUGACUGAACUGUCGUGACGGCGAGAGGUAUAUAUACUCUAUACUACACUGCUCUGCUUUGCCAUGAUGAGUCCACUUCUAGUGACUGAACUGCGAGAGGUAUAUAUAUUCUGUAAUGCACUGGUCUGCUUUGCCAUGAUUGAGUCCACUUCUAGUGACUGAAUUGUCGUGACGGCGAGAGGUAUAUAUACUCUGUACUGCACUGCUCUGCUUUGCCAUGAUGAGUCCACCUCUAGUGACUGAAUUGUUGUGACGGCGAGAGGUAUAUAUACUCUGUACUGAAUGUGAAGUGAGAGCAUAACUAUGGAAGUAUUUGUGGGCGAUCGAGGUUAUGUUUUCUUGGGAGGGCGAACAUUAAUUCAUAGCGAACCAUAGAGUAAAUAAAAAACAAACAUUUUUUAUAUAAAUGUUCAUGUUAGUGUAACAAGCGUUCUUGACAAUUUUCAUGCGAAAAGGAAUAGCAGUGCUUCAUCAGUGAAAAAAACAGAAUUAAAUGUAACAUUUGAAGGUAACAUUUAGUGUUUGACUUUGUUUUUUUGGACAGGUCAAAAUAAUAUAGCUUUUCACCUAAAAUUUGCAGGUAGCACUUGGAUGUGACCACGAACACAUCUAAUUUUAUUUUGAUUUUUUCUUACAUUUGAAAAUGCAUUUUUGGCGCUCAGGAGCAUGUGCUUCUGGAAGAAGCCAAAUUGGAUUUCCGUGUUUUCUCAUACUUUUUCCCUAAUCAUAUAUUUGUGUGUCUGUAUUAAUUGCAAUCAUAAUCAACUAUAGUUAAUUGCAUUGUGAAUCGACUAUUCAAUAUUUGAAAGUGCCACAAGGGCUGUUUCUGUAUUAAUUGCACUGUGUGCGUUUGUAUUCCACCUGACCACCUGUACUAAGUUUCUGGUACUCCCAACGGUAGUGCAUAGCCUGCACAUGACCGGCAGUCCGGCACCAAAAACACCUUGUAUGCAUCUACUACGGUUGCCCAGACGUCGCUUUCCGUGGAUGAAAUACAACGAACUCCCCUAUCUAUACAGCGAGAUAGACGAUCCCAGGGCAUCAGGUGCUCGUCCACCAAAACUACUUUCCAUAGAAACAUACAUAGCUUACUAGUGAAGCUAGUAUAUGACGCAAAUGCUUACUCAGAGCUAGCUGGUAUUUUUGCUUAGGUCGGUUCAGAACUGCUAUAUAAGGAGCAGCUCACCACGGAUUGUAACAAGCUCAUCAGUACUGAAAUACACUAGAAAAACAGCUUCACAGCGUGGAUGUCAUCAUGGUUAACUAACCGAGAGAAACAUGAGGGAGACAAAGUCUCCACCUCUCACCACUAUGCCUUGAUCGGGAGCUUCACACCGUGGAUGUCAUCGUGGCCGUAUAUGAAUCGUCCCCCACAUCCAGCUCUGAUCAAUUUCAGAUACAGGUGGACGUUUCAUUGUACGGCCUGAUGACAUCCACGGCGUGGCUCUCCCAGAAACAGCCUGCUCAAGGGAGAAACAAAGCUGCGACAGGCAGACAAGCCAUAUACAAGUGAAGUGUGCCCCCCGACGGUUACCUUCAGGCACAGAGCCACGGUCGUCUUCGGCGACUUCUCGGGGAGGCGGCUCCAAGCGGUGGCCUCUCUGAACGCACGGGAGCGCCCUCACACGCCACAACAACAGCGCAGCACGGCUGCACGGCGGCAUGGUCGGCCACCGGAGCGUGGCGGCAGCGACCGCGUCCACGCGUGGCGGCAAAGGCAACAGGCGCACGGCCGAGGCCUUGUGAUCAGUGCGCAGCCCGGUCCACGCGCAAGGCGAGGCGGAAGCCAAACCUCCUGGCGUGGCUCUCCCGGUCGCAUGGCGGCCCAUGGCGCAGCGGAGGUUCUGCCCGGCGCGGUGCGGCGGUGUAGCGCGUGGCUAUGCGGCGGCGCGGCAUUGGCAACGUGCGGUUGCAUGACCCGCCGGCAUGGUCGGGCUGGCUGUUGGCCGCCCGUCGACGGUGACGGUGCGGCGUUGACUGUGCGGCACGGAUUUCUCCGGCGAUAGGCCAUGCGGCUUGGAGGAAGUGGGGAUUGGGUAAUCGGUGGAAUAUUUACAUUUCGGUCUAUAAUCUUUCUGUUAUUCACAGAAAAGACCAUAUAUUUCUCUGGCAAAGAGGCAUCUGUUUUGCGAUUAGUCACCACGUAGACUUGGAAAAUAGGAACCCUCAAACGCCUCGUGCUUGGUGUUAUGCAUCCGAGUCUCUUAUAUUUCA